CUUGAUAGCAGCCUAAUCCCCAGUGAGUUGGAAAAAACAGAUCUGACAAUCAUCUCAACAGCUAGAGGCAGUUUUCUGAAGACUUUCUAGCCUCCAGGCAAUGGCAAAUCCUUCUGUAACAACUUACACAGCUUGAAACUGAGAUCAUACACAAGAGAGUGGCUUACACCAGGCAUGCUUAGUACGGCUGAAAAAUAAGGUGGAGAAGAGGAGGAAAAUAAUCUGCAAAAGGGAAGGAUGACUACCUGGUUUGCAGGUGUGAACCAGUUUUUGACCAUUGCCUUUGACUCCUGGUAGCUAAAUACAGAGUGACCACCCACUGAUAGAAAGGAAUG